rnacentral:rRNA from 1 species
AGAGCGAACGCUGGCGGCAGGCUUAACACAUGCAAGUCGAACGGAUCCUUCGGGAUUAGUGGCGGACGGGUGAGUAACACGUGGGAACGUGCCUUUAGGUUCGGAACAACACAGGGAAACUUGUGCUAAUACCGGAUAAGCCCUUCGGGGGAAAGAUUUAUCGCCUUUAGAGCGGCCCGCGUCUGAUUAGCUUGUUGGUGAGGUAAAGGCUCACCAAGGCUACGAUCAGUAGCUGGUCUGAGAGGAUGGCCAGCCACAUUGGGACUGAGACACGGCCCAAACUCCUACGGGAGGCAGCAGUGGGGAAUCUUGCGCAAUGGGGGAAACCCUGACGCAGCCAUGCCGCGUGGAUGAUGAAGGUCUUAGGAUUGUAAAAUCCUUUCAGGCGGGGACGAUAAUGACGGUACCCGCAGAAGAAGCCCCGGCUAACUUCGUGCCAGUAGCCGC